CAGCUCCUGGUGUCUACUAUUAAUGAUUAUUAAUUUAUUGUGGUUUUUUUUUGUUGCAUUAUCUGUGUUUACAAGAUUGUUAAGCUGCAGCAUUUUUUUAAAUGGUUCUAUUGUUUGUACAUAUGACAAGUAACACUCUUUAUUCUUGCAUUGAGCAAUAGAUAGCUGUCAAUUAUGCAGCAUUGAAAGAAUGAACAAAACCCAGUGAAAGAAUGAAGGAAGUACUAGAGAAGGGUAAAGAUAGGCCUAGAGUUAGUAGAUUGUGUGAGAGGGGGUAACUGGUAGAAUCUGAGAUCUCAGGUUCAUGAUUAAGAAAUGCAUGUUACAGCAACUACAGGAAAAGGUGGAUCAUUAAGUGUGACUUGUUAUGGUGAAUACACUAUCCUCAUCAACAUGAAUAUCCUUGAUAUCAUGAUAAAGUCUGAAGCUCACAUUGUUAGAAGCUCAAUCGUUGUAGAAACGAUAUUUCCGAAAGGAUUGCUUGGUUCAUGAGGGCAGGAGCCAGGAUCAUAGUUGCGAGGACGAGGUUGAAGGAAUUUAUGUGGGAGUUCUUCCUCUUUUCUUUCAUAACCAUAACUUCAAUAUACUAAGAAAUAUAUCAUGAUCACUGCAAGCAGUUUCCAUGAUCAUUUGAGUAAGAACCUUUGGUAGUUCAUCCUUGAAUGACUAUACUAUCUCAACAAAUGUCUCUAUUUGUGAUUUGCUCAAGAUGACUUUCUUAUAAUAAAGCAAAUGUUGUUAAUUAUCACCAGAUAAUUUAUAUCAAAAGAGGGACUUUCAAACAUGUCUAUAACAUUUCCAGAAUUUCUGACUACAAGGUUUAUCACACCCAAGGUUAUACUGUGUAACUUGGGUGUGAUAAAAUGUUCUGUAUUUCUUUUCUAACAUAGAAAUCUGUCUUAGUCAAUUGUCAGCAUUUUCAAAGGUGGCCUUGAGCUUCCUGUCGCCUGUUAAUAUAAUUCUCAACCUAAACCCAAUCUGAUUUUUCUUUUGUCUCCCUUGUGUCCAAAAUAAGUUUGAGAAAUAGCACCUAAUCUUCUGUCCAGACUUGUUGCAGUCCUUGGGACUAAAUAUUGAAUUCAGCACUGUCAGAUAACAGAAUGUUCACGCUGAUGUCAAAGCUAUUCCAUUCUGAUGAAAAGUAAUUGACCUGAAAUUAAAGGGCCUGUCCCACUUGGCGAUUUUUUUCGGCGACUGCCGGCAUCAUUGACUAACGUAUCAGGUCACCGAAAAAUAUGCGGCGUGAUGCCGUAUGACGCGUGGAGUUUUUCCAAGUGUCGCAAAAAUUGUUUUGUCGCCACUGGAUUUUGAAAUGUUCGAAAUCUUUUGGCGACACUGAUAUGACGUCGGCAGUUGCCAACAAAAUCGCCAAGUGGGACAGGCCCUUUAAUUUCAGGUCCUUAAGUAUGUUGUUCUCUUCAGAAAUUCUGCCAUGACAUGUUGAGUGUCUCCAGCAUGUUCUGUUUUUAUUUCACCAUUCCUUCUGAUUUUUCCCAAUCUAGUUGAGGGAAAAGUACUAUACAGAAACACCAACUAAACAGAAACUUAUCGUGGCAAUAUAAAAAGACCGACAAGUUAAAUAGGUGACCCAAGAAGACCUCUUCCAUAGCUAUGCGGUGCUCAAACCAUCUUGUAAUGCAGGUAUUAAAAAAAAAACCCUCUCGAAUCAGCAGAUUACUUUAGGUCAUCGCACUGGCAUACUUGGUUAUGUCAAGUUACAUAAUUAAAUUAAUUCAAUUAUUUCCUUUUUCUAGACAAAAGGAAUCAUUGAUAUUUUCUAGACAAAUAAUAUUUGGACAACUGUGCAAGAUUCACCAAAGUGUAAGAUGCUUGCCAUGUCUGCUGCAGCAUCAGAUUAAAUUGUUCUUGAUGCUUGGAUGGUUUGGAAAACUUCUUGUUGGGCAUAUACGUUACUGAUCACUUGAGAGCAAAUCAAGCAUUUUUAAAAAAAAUUGUAUCAAUCCUUAAUGUGAUUGUCCUUAAAACCAUUCAGUGGCAAAAAGUGCUAUUAAUUGUUUGCGCUAUUUCUGCACUGUCUAUCCAAACCAUGUGUAUGUAUAAAUGUGUAUGAAGGAACUGCAGAUGCUGGUUUACACUGAAGAUAGAUGUUAGGGUUCAUUUCUUAAAAAAGACAACUCACAAUAAGUUAAGUAAACCAACACAAGCUUUACUGAUCAUUAGCAGGCAAGAGUGCCAGGGAUAUAAAGUCAAGUAUGCAACAGAUACUUAACCCCCUGGGCCACUGCUCUAAUGAAUGAAGACAUACAACAUAUUUAUAUAAUAUUUUGGAAACGUAGUCACAUGUUUAUACAGACUCUACCUAUUCAAAAAAUUCUUGUCACUGAUACAAUACACUUGUCAUCUUGUGGUUCUAUCAAUCACAAACUGUUGAUCACAAACAUCGAAACAGGAACUUAGUCAAAAAUCACAACAUUUACACUUCUAUCUCAACAAUCUUCGAUGUCAGCUACAAACCAGAAGGCAUCUGUUUACAGAAGCUACCACCUUCCCAGGAAAUACAUCCUUUCUCACUAUUGUAAAUGGUAUUCUACUUGGAGCAUAACAGGAUUCACUAUCAGAGCAGCUUGAAUGCUGUCCUCCAAUUUCCUGAUUCCCACAUCUUUUCAACUUCAGCUUAUUUCAGAACCCAAAACAGUCAAGCUAUACUCAAGCUAAUAUUUUACUUAAUCAAUUCUAAUUAUAAAAUAUUUUAUUAUUAACUAGAAUAUUAUCAUAGACACAAUGUUGGAGUAACUCAGCAGGACAGACAGCAUCUCUGGAAAGAAGGAAUGGGUGAUGUUUUGGGUCAAGAUCCUUCUUGAGGCGUUGUAAAUCUUUAACUUCAAAGUUUAGAACAAUAAAUAAUGCUAUUGAAUAUCUGAAUUGCAAAAGGGCACCCUGAGUAUUUGCCCUAGCAAUUGUUAAAGCACUGGAGGAAUAAAAAUCAAUUUUGGAUACAAAAGUACAUCUAAUCCUGCCUGUGUACACAUUUAGUUAUUUCUCUGUGUGUUUGCCUAAUGAGUUCAUAGAUUCAUGAGUGUUGUGUUUUGAUUUCAAACACAUUUAAUUAGUUAACCCACACCCCUAAUAUAUAAUGUUAAUUGUUUAAAAGUAUUACUUUUUUUAAUGUCUUACACAUAGAAUAAUUUUAUGGGA